GGGCGUGUAGCUCAGUUGGCAGAGCGUUCGCUUUGCAUUUUCUCACUGCUUAACCGCAGAAGGGAAAAAGAGAGAAAUGCGAAAGGUCUAGGGUUCAAUUCUCCAUACUCGUCCA